GCCUUAUUAAUCAUUUUACAUAUCAACAACAAUAGUUAAAUAUAUUUUAACCAAACACUUAACAUAAAUUAGCUAUCAUCAGCAGCUAGCAGUAAUAACUGCCAAUCAAUAGUCAUCAGUUGCAUAUAAUAGCUAAACCAAACAGAUUCUAAGUGUGGCUGGAGAAUGAAUAAUUAAAUAAUCAAUUUAAUGAAGGAUGAGUGUACUAGAAUGAUGAUGAACUCAAGCAGCAUGGAUAUCUUCAAAAUAUGCUCUAACGUCUGCAGGUAAACACAAACAAUGUCUCUAUUCUUCAGUACCAUGUGAUAUCCUGCAUUCUUGAAAGACUUUGAAGUAAGUUUGCAUCGAACAAGUAAAUGUCAUGAACCUAUAAAUCGACAUGACAUAAUGGUCUCAAGUAUGUUUAUACUCCAAGUUUGUUCAAGUUAGAGAUGAACAUACUAGAGAAUUCAAAAUGACAAUUAGCCAGCCAAGUUGCGAAAUCACUAAUAUAAAAACCAACAUAGUAACACCAUGUCAACUACUUGCUAUUCCAAAAUUUUGAAUUCUCGAGAAAAGCAAGCUCAAGUUCUAAUAUAAAAACAAGUCGUUAACAGAAUUCUGCAUUACAUAAUGCUCACCACUAGAGUACGAAUAGAGGAAAAACUCUUCCACGAAACCUAUGACCUAGGCUUUUCCUUUUUUUCUUUGAACAGUGCCAGAAGAGAGACACCAGAAACUUUCACAACCUUGAACCUAACUCCAGGAAUAUCUCCAACAGCAUGCCCCUUCCGUCCAAAUCCAGCAAUCAAUACUUCAUCCUGUACCAAUCAGUGCUCAUCAGGAUAACACAAAAGAGAAACAGCAAUAAUCUAGUAGGAUUCAAGAACUACGCAUUCCAAUCCAGUGUACAUAUAAUUAAAGAUAGGAGAUAGGGAGAAGAGCCCGCCACGUAAUUGUUACAGAAAUUCCACAGACAAUAAUGCAAGAAAUAUCUAGAUCCUCCUCCUUAAAUCAACCAAAAUUUCAGAAAGCAACAUUGUUAUGAUAUUUGAGGAGGGUGUAAUUCAAAUUUUUUCCCUUCAUUUCAUUUGAGUUUGUCCAGAAGUGCAAAAAAAGCUUAGCAAAAUUAAUUGAAAAUAACAACAAUCUUAUGGGAGAAUUAUAUAUAUAUAUGUAAAUUUGUAAUGGUGUUGGAAUUUUGAUUUCUUGGCCAGGUUUAUGUUUUCCUGAUUUCUAUGGUUAAUGCUAUGAUGAAUUACUAUUUACCUCCAGAGGUUGGAUCAUAAUCACUGGUUGACAAAUGUAAAGGCUGCAACUGAAGUUGGCAUUGUUGGCCUUCA
rnacentral:misc_RNA from 1 species